rnacentral:rRNA from 1 species
ACGCUCGACACCUACGGGAGGCAGCAGUCGGGAAUAUUGCGCAAUGGAGGAAACUCUGACGCAGUGACGCCGCGUGCAGGAAGAAGGUUUUCGGAUUGUAAACUGCUUUAGACAGGGAAGAAAGAAAUGACAGUACCUGUAGAAUAAGCUCCGGCUAACUACGUGCCUGCAGCUGCGGUAAUCUGAGCGGGCUGGCAAGGC